CUGAUACUCCCUCCGUCUUAAAAUUCUUGUCUUAGAUUUGUUUAGUUAUGAAUGUAUCUAGUCACGUUUUAGUAUUUAAAUACAUCCAUUCCUAAACAAACUUAAGACAAGAAUUUUGGGACCGAGGGAUUAUGUU
rfam:Hordeum vulgare subsp. vulgare, WGS project CAJW01000000 data, contig: morex_contig_172318